rnacentral:tRNA from 10 species
AACAGGCUACAGCUAUUCUGGAAAGUGCUUGGCAGUUUCUUUUGAAUUUAAAAAUACACUUACUGUGUGAUCCAGCAGCCCCACUGCUAACUACCUUAAUGAAAUAAAAACUUGCUCAACAACCUGUACACAAAUGUUUAUAGCAGCUCUAUUCAGACCUGCAAAACAUUAGAAACAACCCAAACACCCUUCAACAGGUGACGAGACAAACUGAUCCAUCCAUAGAGCACUACUCCAAAAAAAACAAAAAAAAAAGAGAGAAAACAAAUGCUGAUGCACGCAUCCUGAUCAGUCUCAGCGGCGUUCUGCAGAUCUCGCUGCUCCCAGCCACGCAUUGUAGGACUCCAUUAUGGGACCUUCUUGGAAAGACAUAACUACAGUGGUGGAGGACAGGUGUGUGGCUGCCACGGGUCGGGGUGGUGACUAUGGGGAAAGUGGAACAGUCUUCUGAGAUGGCAGGGCUCGCCUGUCUCCCAGGUAUGGUGCUUACCCACAUCUGCACAGGUGUGAACAUCCAUGGAAUUGAAUGUUCCAUGAACAAAACAAAAGAACAAAUCAAUUUUACUACGUGAAAUUUAAAAAUGUUAUUAGGGGCCAGGUGCAACACCUGCAAUCCCAGCACUUUGGGAGGCUGAGGUGGGCAGAUCACCUGAGGUCAGCAGUUCGAGACCAGCCUGGCCAACAUGGUAAAGCCCUGUCUCUACUAAAAAUACAAAAAUUAGCCAGGCGUGGUGGCUCACAGCUGUAAUCCCAGCUACUCAGGAAGCUGAGGCAGGAGAAUUGCUUGAACCUGGGAGGCGGAGGCUGCAGUGAGCCGAGAUUGUGCCAUUGUAUUCCAGCCAGGAAGACAGAACGAGAUUCCGUCUCAAAAAAAAAAAAAAAAAAAAAAAACACUUCCUGAGGGAGAUGUAAGGUGACACAAAAGUUCGGCAAUUCCUCCAAGAGCUGAACAAGCGGCCCAGCAGCUCUACUCCUCGGUAUAAAUAUUCAAGAGAAAUGAAAACAAAUACACGUCCCCAUAAAAACUUGUUCACAAAUGUUCACAGCAGCAUUUUCAGAGUAGCCAAAAAGUAGAAACCACCCAAAUGUCCAGCAACGGAUGAAUGGAUAAAUAAGGUGUGGUGCAUCCAUACAAGAGAUUAUUCAGCCAUUAGAAGGAAUGAAACUCCAAUGCAUGCUGCAACACACAGGAACCAUGAAAAUAUCUUGCUGAGUAAAAGCAAAGGCCACAUUCACAUGAAUGUCCUGAGUAGGCAAAUCUAUAGAGACAGAAGGUAGGUUUAUGGCUGGCUGUCAGGGGCUGAGCGGGAGGGAACAGUGACUGCUAAGGGAAGGUUUCUCUGCAGGGUGAUGAAAUGUCCCAAAAUUAGGUAGUGACGAUGGUACCUCUGUGGGUUUGCACAGAGCCUGUCACUUCCCCAGAAGGCCAUGAGGCGGCUGGGCCAGCCCUCUUCUGCUCAGCAGCCACCCACCAACCCACUUCCCACCUUCCAAAAUGGGUUCAAAUCCUUUGUGGGAUGUUGGCUUCUUCCCCAUCUUUGUCCCUGGGGGAGGAUUUUUUUUUGGUCCAUUCCUCUCAUUUCACAGUUCCAUUUCGUUUUAAGUGAGAAGAGAUGACCUCAAUCAAUCUGUUUUAACAAACUGCAGUGACCCAGCAAAACCUGUCACAUACAAACAAAUCCCCAAAUAUAGAAGCCCAGUAUGUUAAAGACAAAACUUCACAAUCAUUAGACGAAAACAUGACAGUGGUUUCCAGCCUCAGGGAAGGUCAGGAUGUUCUGAGUCGGUCGGAAAUAGCACCAUUCAUAAAGGAUAAGAUCAGCUGAUCAUGUGUAAGGCUUAAGCUUCUGCACAUCAGGAGCAACAGAAACGCAGUUCAAAGACACAACCGAGAAUCCGUAAUCAGGAAUAUCAGGAACUCCUACCAACCAGCAGAAUAAGACCCAGACCAACAACCAGAAGAAAAAUGAGAAAAAGACAUCAACAGGCAAUUCGCACGGGAGAGAAUCCAAGGGAGAGGUAAGCGUGGUAAAGACGCCUGACUCCGCCGAGUCAUCAGAGAAACGCACGUGACAGCGAUGCCACUUCACUUCACACACAGCACGCUGCAGCAUCUCAAUUCCAACAACACGAAGCACGGGCAGGGAUGGGAGGGAUGGGAGUGAUGGGAACCCUCCCCCUGGUGCUGGUGGAAGGACCGGAUGCAGCCCCUCUGCAAAGCAAGCUGGCAACUGCUAAAAAGGGGAGGCCUAGAAACCACCAACCCUCCUUCCAGGUUGACAGGAGACCCACGAGAGCAGGUCUGGCUAUCUCCAGUCACCAAACCCUGAAGACACGGGAAGAGACUGGAAGGUGCUCUCUAGGGAACUCACACACGGCAGUCAGAAUCCACCAUGUAGAGUGCCCAGCACAAGAUGCAUUAAAAGUAGCCAGGCUGAGUCAAAAGCCCAGCUACCUGCAGCUGACCCAGUGGAUGGUUUCUGCAUUUUUAAUGCAAUAUUCUUAUUUGUGAAUACAGAAACGUACAGAUGCAAAAUUCUAAAGCCCAAAGAGAACCGGAACGCCUCAAUUCCCGCCACGUGGCCUGGGGAGCUGAGGUGAGGCCGGGAAAGGGAACAGCAGGGCUCUGCAAUGCUUGCUCUUUAGGCCCAGUACACACUCACGGAACACAGACAAUGCCCGUCGGUCAGCUCCGUGCCUGAGUUAUUUUCUGUACUUUUCUGUGGUCAACUUCUCAAACUACAGCAGUGCGUGAAGACGUCGAGAGGGGACAGCACUUUAUCCUGGACCCCGAUACAGAUGCCCAGUAGGUCCCAGCACGGCUGCCCUGACACCGAGUGUGAAGCCGUGCCUACGCCUGCCUGCACUGUCCCAAAAACACACCACAGGGGCGGUGCAGCCAGGACCCUCGGUGUGGCCAGGACCCCCCGGGUGCAGCCAGGAUGCUCGGUGGAGCCUGUGCACAGAAAGGCAGGACCAGGGCUGGCUCAUCCUCAUUCUGCUCUCACAGGAGUCCCUGGGGAGGCCCAGGAGAGGAGAUGGACAGGGAAGAACAUUCCAGAAGAGGGAACAAGGCUCGAGAAGAGGGAGCUUACAUCAGGUGAGGAACAGAGAACACAGCCUGGCUAGCUAGAGAAGCAGGCAGGGGCUAGGCACCCCGUGGGGAGGGGUCUGUGAGAGGAGAGGCCAGGAGGACCCGCAGAGGGUCACCACUGCCAAGGCUGGAAGCCGCAGGAGGCCCUUCUCCUGGAGCAGCCCUCGUUUCUGC